rnacentral:rRNA from 1 species
GUGCCAGCAGCCGCGGUAAUACAGAGGUCCCAAGCGUUGUUCGGAUUUACUGGGCGUAAAGGGUGCGUAGGCGGUGAGGGAAGUUUGAGGUGAAAUCUCCAGGCUCAACUUGGAAAUUGCCUUGAAGACUCCCUUGCUUGAGGGUCGUAGAGGAGACUGGAAUUCUCGGUGUAGCAGUGAAAUGCGUAGAUAUCGAGAGGAACACCAGUGGCGAAAGCGGGUCUCUGGACGACAUCUGACGCUGAGGCACGAAAGCCAGGGGAGCAAACGGGAUUAGAUACCCUCGUAGUCC